UCGUAGUUGGAUUUCUGGUGGGAGUGACCGGUCCGUCCGUUCGGGAUGUGUACUAGCUGUCGUCUCUUGCCAUCCUUGGGGAGAACGGGCCUGGCAUUAGGUUGUCGGGUUCGGGAUCCCCAUCCUUUACUGUGAAAAAAUUAGAGUGUUUAAAGCAGGCUUAUGCCGUUGAAUACAUUAGCAUGGAAUAAUGAGAUAGGACUUUGGUGGUCUAUUUUGUUGGUUUGCACGCCAAGGUAAUGAUUAAUAGGGAUGGUUGGGGGUAUCCGUAUUUCGUAGUCAGAGGUGAAAUUCUUGGAUUUACGAAAGACGAACUACUGCGAAAGCAUUUACCAAGGAUGUUUUCAUUAAUCAAGAACGAAAGUUAGGGGAUCGAAGAUGAUUAGAUACCAUCGUAGUCUUAACCAUAAACUAUGCCGACUAGGGAUUGGCGGUCGUUACUGUUAUGACUCCGUCAGCACCUUAUGAGAAAUCAAAGUCUUUGGGUUCCGGGG
rnacentral:rRNA from 1 species